GACGAACGCUGGCGGCGUGCUUAACACAUGCAAGUCGAACGGAAAGGCCCUGCUUUUGUGGGGUGCUCGAGUGGCGAACGGGUGAGUAACACGUGAGUAACCUGCCCUUGACUUUGGGAUAACUUCAGGAAACUGGGGCUAAUACCGGAUAGGAGCUCCUGCUGCAUGGUGGGGGUUGGAAAGUUUCGGCGGUUGGGGAUGGACUCGCGGCUUAUCAGCUUGUUGGUGGGGUAGUGGCUUACCAAGGCUUUGACGGGUAGCCGGCCUGAGAGGGUGACCGGCCACAUUGGGACUGAGGUACGGCCCAGAGUCCUACGGGAGGCAGCAGUGGGGAAUAUUGCACAAUGGGAGGAAGCCUGAUGCAGCAACGCCGCGUGCGGGAUGACGGCCUUCGGGUUGUAAACCGCUUUCGCCUGUGACGAAGCGUGAGUGACGGUAAUGGGUAAAGAAGCACCGGCUAACUACGUG
rnacentral:rRNA from 1 species